GUGGAAGAGAACCUCAUCCAACUCAAGGUCUCCUGAGACGGACGACUGAUGGGCACCCAGAAACAGGCUUCUGUUGCACAGAAAGUCAAGGCCGAGUUGCCCUGCAGCUGUGCUGAGAAGACUGGGGAGGUAUCUUCGGUUCCGGACGGUACCUGAUUGGUUCGUGUGAUGGACAUGUGGGUGAUGGGCAAGGACUUGAACUUUCUCUUGGGUGAGGAAAACCCGGAAGCUCUCAGAUUUGGAUUUUCCCAGAUGUGCAUCUCUAAUAAAAAUUAGCUUUGAG